ACCAACGCUCAAAUCACGCUGGGUGCACCAGUUCUCGUUUGAUCACUGAAGUUAAGCAGCGUUGAGCGCGGUUAGUACUUGGAUGGGUGACCGCUUGGGAAUACCGCGUAGCGUUGGUU